CCUCUUUCGACUGUAAUAAAACUGUACCAGAAAGCAGCAGAUAUAUAAAUAGAAGAAAUACACUCACAGUGGACUGUCUGUUCUAUGAAGAUGAAGGAUUGUUGGCAUGCGAAAGGAAUGAGGAGGCACUGGCAAAAAUUGUUCAGUGUUUCAAAAAUCAGGUAUUGUCUUACCUCUUUUUUUUAAUUCAUUGAGGUGUGGGAACACUAAUUUUGCAAACAUUAUUUAUAAUUGGUAACUUGGUCAGUUUAUGUCCCCCUGUUUCAUGUACCUCAAUUACUACAUAGACAUGCCAAAUCUAAUUUGAUGGUUUUAUUAGAGUUUUGCAUAAUUUUAGAAGGCUGUGUAUUUUUCCAGAUUGAAUGGACAUGUUUGGGUGGACCAUGCAGGCAAAAUUAAGCAAUGCUGUGCAGUGAUAAUUAAAUAUUUAUUUGAAUUUUACUUAAUAAUAUAUUCCUUGUUUCACCUUUAGAACCAUUUUCUUGAAAUUGUACAGACAUUUUUUCAUUAUAUGUGGCACAUCUUCCAACAAUAUCGGUAUCAUGGAUGCUGUUGGAUAUUUGCCAAAGUGACGGCAAUAUGGCCAGGAGAAGAUAGAGGAACGUAUGAAUCCAGUGAAUACACUGAAAGAAGCAGACUGAUACAUGCAGAUGAAGUAAAAAAUGCUUAGAAAGUAAGGAUGAAAACCUAAAGCAUGAUGUUGAAAAAAAUGAAAUAAACCAAUUGACAAAGAAGUAAAAUGAUGCAGGGAGAUUGCAUCUUUUUAUUAUGAUGAGUGUCAUUGCAACUUUAAACUAUAAUAAGCUCUAGAAUGUGUUAAGUUCUAAUUAGAUACAUGCAAAUAGAUAAUUGUUUUGCUUCAUAGCCUGCAUGAACAUUAAUAUUGCGACUUUAGAUUGAGAAGUUCAGCAUGAUGAUAAAGUUACAGCUGCAUUUUUUUGAUUUUAGGCUAGUGUUCCACUGUAUUGGGACAUCAAUCUAUGAUACUGAUCCUUGUAAUAUCAAUCGCUGACAUGGAUAUGUUAAUAAAAAA